rnacentral:rRNA from 1 species
UACGUAGGCAGCGAGCGUUGUUCGGAGUUACUGGGCGUAAAGGGUGUGUAGGCGGUUCUUUAAGUUUGGUGUGAAAUCUCCCGGCUCAACCGGGAGGGUGCGCCGAAUACUGAGGGACUAGAGUACGGGAGAGGAAAGUGGAAUUCCUGGUGUAGCGGUGAAAUGCGCAGAUAUCAGGAAGAACACCCGUGGCGAAAGCGGCUCUCUGGAACGGUACUGACGCUGAGACGCGAAAGCGUGGGGAGCGAACAGG